GGCGUCGUCGCGGGGAGCGGCGCGUUGGGUUCCCCGCGGUCCAGCAGCCCCGAGCCCCCCGUUUGCCCGCCGUACCCCGGCGUCGCGCCCACCGCCGGCCGCGCGUCCCUGCUCCUGGGCGUGAGGUAACUCUUCCCCGGCGUCUUCGCCGUCGACGCGGAGGAGGUGGAAAACUGCUCGGCGCGGCGGCGACGCGUUUCCUCCUCCUCCGCGGCGGCGGCUGAUCGCUCGGCGGCGACCGCGGCGGCGGCGGACUCCGUCCCUGGAUCCGCCACCAUCUCGUUCUCCUCAUCCUCCUCUUCCUCCUCCCGUCCCCUCCGCUCGCGUCCGUCCAGGUUGCUCCCCGUGCGCGUCAUCGUAGCGACGGUGCUGUCGCCGUCGCCCUCGCGCCCGGACAGCGGCCGCGGCUUCGGCCUGCCGCUGUCCGGCCGCGACGCGUCGCCCGCGUCCGCGUCCGCGCCGCCAAAGUUGAGCUCCGCG
rnacentral:lncRNA from 1 species